AUUGAACGCUGGCGGCAUGCCUUACACAUGCAAGUCGAACGGUAACAGGCUAAGCUGACGAGUGGCGAACGGGUGAGUAAUGUAUCGGAACGUGCUCAGUCGCGGGGGAUAACUGCUUGAAAGAGCAGCUAAUACCGCAUACGACCUGAGGGUGAAAGCGGGGGAUCGCAAGACCUCGCGCAAUUGGAGCGGUCGUUAUCAGAUUAGGUAGUUGGUGAGGUAAAGGCUUACCAAGCCGACGACCUGUAGCUGGUCUGAGAGGACGACCAGCCACACUGGGACUGAGACACGGCCCAGACUCCUACGGGAGGCAGCAGUGUGGAAUGUUGGACAAUGGGCGCAAGCCUGAUCCAGCCAUGCCGCGUGCGGGAAGAAGGCCUUCGGGUUGUAAACCGCUUUUGUCAGGGAAGAAAAGGUUCUGGCUAAUACCUGGGACUCAUGACGGUACCUGAAGAAUAAGCACCGGCUAACUACGUG
rnacentral:rRNA from 1 species